GUUCUUCUGCAGCCUUUAAUUAUUACAAGGUAUAGGAAUUUUCAGGUUCACGCAUCAGGAUUUGCCAAGAAGUAAGCUUCGACAGCCUUGAACAGUCCUUCGGUCUUCUUGCCAUCCUUCUUGAUUUGAUCCUCCUUGAUCUCAGCGCCAUCCUUUAUAUAGUACUUGCUUGUUCUUUUGCAGAUGGAUCCUCCCUCAGGAGUGGGCACAAACUUGUGCUCAAAAAUCACUUUCUCAACUCCCUCCAUCCAAACGUUAGAUUCAAUCAAACUGAAGCUGUAUGCGAAAUUCUCUUCAUCAAUUGUUUCAAUCUUCUGCUUCACGUAGGUGAGUCCUUUGCCUGCAAGUGAAAUCUACAGCGUUAUUUCUUUGUGCAACACAUAUAGCUAGCUAGUGAUACACUAAUUUCAAGGCCACCCUUUAUUUUGUUCUUCUUGGGUAAUAUAUAUAUAUAUAUAUAUUAGUUACAGCAAGUAGCUAAGAGAUGAUAGAAUUUAUAACUUGCCUUCAACAAAAGUGACCUUUCUUAUUGUUCCUGGCCCUCCGUUUCCUUCAAUUAUCUCAGAGCUUAUAAUAGCUUGCGGUAGAAUUUUAGGUAUAAGAGUAUCAGUCUCAAGGCAAUAGACCUUGAAGAGCUUGGCAGGAGGGACAGCGACAGAAAACUCAUUUUCAAAAGUGAUGAGACCCAUGAUAACCAAAUAUUAGUUACAAAGAUUACAGAAGAAAGAAAUUAGAGGGGGAAUUUGAAGCUAUGAAGGAUGGUUCUGGGGUGAAGAAAUGUGAGAAUUGGAGGAGGAAUUUAUAGGGUAAGUGUAUGAACGUCUCAUCUGGAUCAAAGUCCCUGUCCCCUUCAUCGUUCUUAUUUUUUGUAGAAUUAUUGUUUUGGUCAAUAUAAGCAGCUUUGAAUCUAGAGAAAUUAUAAAAUUCUCAAGUUGAAUAUAACUAAACAUCAUUUUGUAAGAAAAAUAAUCUGAACUAGAUUAAUUUAGCACGAAUUACGAGGACCGUUGUUGCAACCUCCAGUAAGAGAAUUAGGGGAAAAAAACUUAGUGCAUGGAUAAUUUGAUAGUUCUAAAGUCCCUUGCCUGCAAGUUGGAUCAAAGACGGUUUGCAAGUCCCUAGCUAUACACACUUGCAUAUAAAGCAAGAGGAUUGGAAUAUUUUGGAUAGUUUCUUUACUCCUCAUUGAGAGUAAAUUGCAGGCGCUGAAAAUCUAUCGUUUUCCAUGUUAAUUACUGUCACAAAAAGCUCUGACUUGGUCAAGUCCAGUGCCUUCAGAAAUUACAAGUAGAAGUCAAGUUAGAACUAGCAGCCAUCGAAGACGAUUAUGUAUUCAAUGGCCCAGAUAUUAAUUGCCCAUUUAAAAUCAAUAUUGCUAUUAUUCAAAAUAGAAUAUCAAUAUAUUCCCGAGAAAAUUAUUUAGAUUUUUAGUCUCAUAAAAAAUUUUUUGAUAUUCAAAUUUAAAAAUAAAUACGUACUUAUCUUUUUAUUAACAUUUACCAUAAGUGGAAGUCUAUCAUUUUAUGAUUACCACCGUCAUAACCAUUUUAUUAUUAAAGUAAUUAUUAUUAUAAUCAUUACUAAUAUUAUAAUUAUAAUUAUAAUUAUCUUUUCAUUAACAUCUACCAUUAAUACAAGUCUAUCAUUCUAUGACGACCACCAUCGUAACCAUUUUAUUAUUAAAGUAAUUAUUAUUCUAUUAUUAUUAAUAUUAUAGUUAUAAUUGUCAUUAUUACCACCGUUAUUAUUAUCUUAUCAUAAAUAUUGCAACUUUUCUUAUUUUAUUUUUGCUAUUCAAAAAUCAUGAAUACAAUAUAUAUAUAUAUAUAUAUAUAUAUAUAUAUAUAUAUAUAUAUAUAUAUAUCCAAAUAAUAAAAAUUAACUUAAAACAAAUAUCUUUAUACUAAACAAACUCCCCCUCAAACACAAGUUGGCUUUGAGUAUAUAUUAAAUUUUGUUGGAAAUUGGAAUGACUAAUUUCUUCAUUUUUGUUCUUUUUUUUACAGGGGGCUAAUUUUAUUUUAUUUUAAGCAUUAACUUGCCAUACUGGUGGGAUUGUUUUUCAAAGUAGUAGUCAAGAUUUAUUUUUUUAAUUUAAAUGAUGUUUGUAUAUAUUUUUUUAUAGAGGUUUUUCCCAAAUAAUAAGUUGUUGAAGCAUGAGUGCUCGGAUCUGUAUAUGUGUCUGACAUCGACACCCCAUACCGAGUCUGAGGUCUGAGUAAUAUACAAUUGAUUUAAUUCCACGCCUUAUGACGUUUCGAAAAGGGAGUCGGUGUGGCAUAAAGAUAUCAUUAGAAAAAUUGUUGUUCAAAACGUUGCUUUGAAUCAUUUCAACAUUUUGAAAAAAAAAUUAAUAUACUUUUAUCUUAAUUUAUUUUUUUUCUACAAGUUAUUCAUCAAAAAUAACUCUGAAAUUACAAUUCAAAGUAAGAAGUUAAUGUUUUACAAGUCAUGUAAAAUUAACUCUUAAUCUGCAAAAUCAAGAGAUUAACCCAUAAUUUGCAUGGGAUAUACAUCGAUCUCACAAUGAUAUUGUAUAUCUUCUGUCAGAACUAAAGAUUACACAAUCCUCAAUUAAUCCCAUCGAAUGACGCUUCCUAAGCAGACUUUUCACAUGCAGCAAACAAAACUUUAAUUUAUUUCGCAAUCCAAAAUCCUUCAUUACUAGUAAGAAAUUGGUGGACAAGAACUUAUAAAUAAUAAUAUUUAUCUACCUAUAUUAAAUAACCCUUCAUUACUCGGGCAACAUAAAUAUUGAGAAACUGUUCGUCUAACACAACAAUCAUUAAAAAAAAAAUUAGUUUGUCAAGCACCACAAUCAUUGAGAAAUGGUUCACAUUCAAACUCCAAAAGCACCAACCAUUGAGAGAAAUAGUUCACGCAUCAAAUCCUAUACAAAAGCAAGCAUCCGUUGUGAAAGGGUUAACACCAAGCACUUUGAAAAAUUCUAAUCACCAAAGCAAUUUAUGAGCAACUUCGAGUCAAGAUGAUCUACCUACAUUCAAGUUCCAAAAUAAUGUUUCAAACAAAUCUUAAAAAAUACAAAAAUCCAAUUAAAAAAAAACCAAAACAUGAAUCUUGAUUUGAAAACUAAAAAGUCUAAAUGUAUGGAAAAUACUUACUUUUGCUAAAAUUUAAAACUAUUAAUAUGGUGGUUAAUUAUUAAUUUGGUGGCUAACUAUGGAUUUUAUAGCUAGAUAAAACAUAAAUAAUAACAUCAUAAUCUGAACAUAUGGUCUGUAUGAAAGUUGUAGAUAAUUAUCUUAUCUUUCCAACCUAAAACGAAUGGGCUUAUUUGCACUUUUAGAACUUCAGAUAUAGGUUAAACAACUAACAGUAUUUGGAUUGGAGGACAAAUUCAUAUUUCUCUUUUGUUGUUAAGAUUUGAACUUAAAAAUGACAGUGUUGAGUCUUGGGCUUUUCAUGAAUAUUUUAGGUUUACAUCUUAGCUUUUUAUCAAGCUAAACCACACUUGAGUUGGAGGUUGUUAGAUUCAGUUAUAACCUAAAAACCAAAUGAUGUUCCAGUUCAAACAUCAAUCAGUCCAAGUAGGAUUUCUUCUCUAAACAUAGUCUUCUCUUUGUCUCUUCACAUAAACCCUAAUUUCAAUAAUUAAGCAUAUCAAUUAGUCCUUUGAAUUGUGAACUAUGUCUAUUUUACAAACUUGCAUUUAAAACUAAGUAUUUACCAUAAAUUAUAGAUAUAUUAUAUUGUUAGACUUGUUAUUAUAAACAUGCUUAAAUUAAAGAAUUUAACAAUACUUUAAAUAUAAUAUGAUGAUAUAAAACCUUAAUAAAAUACACUUUAAGUACAUAUCACUCCUCUCAACUAACUUAUCACUACUCCCCAUCAAUUAAAGCAUUAGAAUAGAGAAACAAUUCACGGAAUUUAAAACCAAAGCGUUCGUCAUUUUACUUUUACUAAUCAAUCCAAAUAAAAAAAACUCUCUUUAGAUUUAUAUUUCUGCCAUAUUCCUUUUAAUUAAGAUAUUACUAUAUUUUUUGUGUUCAAUAUUGAGCCACAUGGUUAUGGACCUUGCUUGGAAGAAAACUAAAUUUGUUCUAAUCUUUUUCUAAGGUUAACUUCUUUUGGUUAGGAUAUAUAUAUAUAUAUAUAUAUAUAUUUCUUUUUCAUUCUUUUUUAAAUAACAUAGCUUUUAAAAAAAACAUAAUGCAUCCUUUACUCAUGUAAUGAGUUAUAGGCUAAAAACUUUCAAAUAAGUUGGCCUUAGAGCAUUAGGUAUUGAGACACUAUGAGCUUAAUAACUCGAGUUACAGAUACUUACAUGUAGAUAGUGCAAUGUUUGAUUCCCUUAAGCUUUUUCCUCAACUCAUGUAACAAGUUUUGGGCUAGUAACUUCCAGAUUAGUUGACUUUAAGUUAUUAGGUGUUAAAACACUCAUUCGUGCUUAAUUGCUUAGGUUAAGGAGACUACAAAAUUGAACUUAUCUAUGUAUUUAUUUUAUUAGUUUAUUAUAUAUAUAAUCUAUCAUUCUCUUAGUUGCCACCUACGAUAAAAGAACACAAAUAAUGUAAUAAUCUAAUUUACAACCCAUAAACAUGUGUUAAAGUAUGUGUGUGAAGAAGAUGGUUUACGAAUACUUGCUAAAUAAGUAUAUGAGCAGAAUUAAGUGAUAACAAUAUGAGAGCUUGUAAACUUGAAUAAUUAAAAAAAAAAAGCAUGUGAUAAAACCUUGUUAUGAAUUUUACAAAUAACCAUAAUAAAAUAUUUAUUGCAAUGUGUCUCAAGAGUCAUCUCAAAAGUAAAGUUCCUUCUUACUUGGCCAUUCUAAUUGUAACAAUUAUGUCAAAUGGUUUUAAUAACACCAAGAAGAAAAUGUUUUUUUUUUAUUAUUUCAACUAUCCUCUCCCCCCUAACAAAAAUGACACAUUGUUCUCAAUAUUUAAAGUCAGAUCAGUAGUGUAUAGAAGACAUUACCUAAAAUUACAACUACUAAAAACCUGAAACACACUUAAACAAAUAUAAUAAAUAACGGAACAAAAAAAUAAUAUAUUAUGGGUAAAAUCAAAAGACAUAAAUAUUUACACAUUAAGGCUCAAACCCAAUCUUUUGUUUUCACAACUUUUCUUGGUUGACCAGUCUAUUCGAUUCAUGGAUUGAUCAAAUUUAGGGAUGAAAGUUUGUAGUUGAUCAAUCAAUUGUUCAGCAGUUGCAACAGAUAUUAUGUUUCAUUAUGUCGAAGAUGUUAUAAACUUUUGUUCCAACAUGAUAAAAAAAAAGAUAACAAAUUAUUAUAAAAAUCAUUAACAUUUAAUGUUCAGUUGGGUGUAGAGAAAAUCUGAAAUAUCUCUUUGAAUGUACCUAAACUAAUUGCUAAAGAAAUAAAGGCAUCAAAAUGUUCAAGUAUUGUAGCUAUUCGUUCAGACCUUGUCAAGACCUUUAGUUCAUCUCCAAUUGUUUUUCUAGUGAUGUUCUCAUUGGCUAAAGCUUUUGGGUUGAUACCCAAAACUUGAUUGUCUAUGAAGAAUAUACAACUAUUGACACAUUUUCUAUUGACCCAAAGUUGCCUCCCCCAUAUACUAAAUGAGUCUUUCUCUCAGCUACUACCCGACCAAGAUAAUUUGUUAAUUCUAAAACUUCAUUUUCUUUUUCAGGACUGGAUCCACAAAUAUUUUUUAUUUUAAGAGUUGAGGAUCUUGUCAUCUCUACAGUAUCUUAUACUCUUUGAAUGUAUGAGCUGAAUAAAAAUAAAAGGAAGGGUGAAAAUAUUUUAUAGACAUGGAAAAGGAAUGCAAUCAUAUCACCUAUAUGGAUAGGCUAGUUAAAGGGUUUUUUUUUUGUUAUUUGAUUUAGAACAUGUAUAUGUACAAGUAGAUGUGAUUAUGACUCACAUCUUCUCUUGGUUUUACAUCCAAGAACAACUUAAACGCUGUUUAUAGGUUGGGGAUAGGCUUCCCAUCCAGUUUUUUUUUAAAAAACUAACAAACAAGGUUUUUUUAGUCAGAUUCCUAAGACUAUUUCUAGCAUAUUCUUUAUGAAAAUAGGGUCAUAUGAUUGAAAGGAAAUGGUAUUAAUGCAUUUGACUGAACCAACAUAAUAGAUUGAAUGUUAAAUAAUUAUUGUAUGUGGAUCCAGACUUGAGGUUUGAAUCACUGAUAUUUUAGUCAUCAAAGGGUAAAUGAGAUGAUUUAUACACUUCAGAAUGAUUAAAACAAAUAGCUUCAGGUUGGGACUCACCUCUACCUUCGAGCAACCAUAAGGGAUAAAAAUCCUGAAAACAAGUAGGCGAUUGAUAAGUUGAAGAGAAGGGUUUAAAGGGAUGAGCCUCUAAGUGAUUUUAUAUAGAUGAUGCCACCUCAAAACAUGUGUAACUACUUGGUGAAAUAGAAUAUUAAAUAUGUUAUAUAUAAGACCCUGAGUUAGGGGUAUAAAGAAUGGAAUGCGAGUAAAAGUUUGAAACUGAUGAAAUUUAGUUAGUGUAGUAUGUGUUACAAAAUAUAAUGAAGGAAUUAAACUUUUAGUUAUUAACUUGUAUGAACUAUGAAUAAUGUGAAUCGAGUCUUUGUUGGGUUGGAAGAAAAAACCUAAUAUAAGUUUUGUGUUUUGCAAGAGUGUUUUUUGCAUGAUCUAGCCAGGGAAUGAAAGAAUCAAAUACAGAGCUGAUACUAUGACAAAAUUUUAUACUGUACGAUCAUACCAAGUAGAUCAAUCUAUAUAUAUAAUGUAGUAAAAAAUAAUGUAAAUUGUCAUAUAAGUACAUCAUUGUAUUGUUUCUUUAAGUAGGGUAUUAACGUUUCAAAGAAUUUUAAUGUAUAGAUAUUGAUGUAAAAUUUAUUGGAUUGAUUGGAUGGCCUGAGGCCAUUACUUGGAUAUAAUUUGUUACGGGCAGGAUUCAUAAUCUUCAAUGAUUGUUAUAUAGGUUAUUAAAAGAAGAGAAACAAAAAAUUUAGUGACUUUGACAGAAGGAACUCUAUCAAAAUUUCAUUAGGAAUCUAAUGUGACAAUUUUAAUGGAAACGUUUCAAUAUUUAUAUGAAUGGUGUUACUGGGAGUAGAUAUGCAAGUUAUAAAAAAAAUUACCUUAUUUACAUGAUUUCAAGGCUUAAAAUAUCAUUAGAACGUUGAGAAUUUUACGGGGCGUUAUAUACAAACUAUAUUAUACUUCCAAAAUAUUUCAAUUUCUCCAUCAAGAAUUAAACCUCCCCUUCUCUAUUUUGAUUUGUUAUGCCACUUUCGCACGUGAUAGAGACGAUGUAUGGCUGAGCUCGCUGAAAAAUAUGGGUGUGUGCCUCCAUAAGAGGCGUGUUAUUGGGAAGGAAAUUUUUUUGAGUUUAAUCAUAAAAUUAUGAUUAAGGUUCAGGAGCUACCACUUAGUAUUAUGAUUACUAGGAAUCUAUGGUCUGCGAGAUUCUGAGUAAUGGACUGGUUGUGCAAAGGGAAUAUACAUCACCCACAGUGCACCCUACUUAAAGUAAGUUGCAUUGUUAUUUGAUUGUUUUUUUUUCUAAGUCAAGUUUCUAUUCAUUGGUCUUGUCCAAGGUCUAAGGUAGAUCUCCCUUCAUGAGAGAGUUUCUACCUCAUCGGGUUUAAUCCUAACAAUUUUAAAGUUCAAAUUUUAGCAUCGUAUUUAUUUUACACUUUGUAUCUUUAAUACCUGAGAGUGUACUUUAUUGUGUAGUUUUACACCCCCCAAGUAUUAAAAGUCUACUUCUGAACCCUAAUAUAAAAUAAACAAAAUGAUUGGUGAAGGAUUUUUGACAUUUUAGCUAAAUCCUAACGGAUAAUCAUAAACUGGAAAUGAUAUCUAUUUUUGGAUUUUUUAAAACAUGAGAAAGAUGCAAUUUUUGUCUUUUUUUAAUGAAAAUAUGCUUGGAAAACUUUUUAGAAUUUGGUCGUAUGCAUUAAAAAAGUAUAUUUUGUUUUUGUUUUUUGAAAGGGGAAAUUAAUUUAAAAGUUUUGAGAUUUUUUUUUUGAAAAUUUUCGGAGAAAACUGAGUAUUUUAAUACCGAAUCUAUAUCUUACAAUGUAAAAAUAUAACCCAAUAUUAAACAAAAUUGAUAGAAUAACACGCGAGAAAAUCAAAAUUAUUUUGAAAUUCCCUUUUGGGAUUUUAUUUUUUAAUAUAUAAUAUUAUUAUAUUAUCAUAAUUAAAUAUAUUAUAAAAUAUAUGGGUUGGGCCGACUAGCGGUCCAACAAAUCUAAGCUUCUCCUUUUCUUUUUCUUUUUCUUUUUUUUGGGUUGAACCCGGCCUAGCCACUUGAAGUGGGCUGGAACGGGUCCAGCCCAGGCUGGGGGGUAAUUAUUCCCCUUAGUGCCCUGUAUGCAUAACAAAUUAUCGUUCUGCAUGCAGGAAAAUAAAGGGAAGGGGGGGAGGUGAACUAGAGGAAAAAAAGACAGAUGGGUUACCUGGCGUAAGAAGUUGCUGGUGACCUGGUAGCGGAGCUAGUGGAGAGAACGGUGGGUGGAGACGCCAACAUCAGUUGAAGGAGAAGGGAGAAGGAGAGGAAAGAGAAGAGGGAGCUUGCGGUAGAGGAGCUGCUGGCGCUGUGGAGGAAGAAGGAGAAAUAGUCAAUGGAGAGGAGGAAAGUGUGACGAUGCUAAUGGAGGGAAAGGCUGGUGGUGGCUAAAGGCCAUAGUGGAGAGAGAAAAAGGAAAGAAAGUUCACGGUGGCAGAAAGGAAAUGAAGGGGAAAGGUUGACUUUCUUUCCCCCUUAGAACAUGAAAUCCUCAUCUAUUUAUAGGGGUUGGAAGAGGAACGUUUGGUCUCCACUAAUGCCAAAUUUUGACCCUUGAUUUGACCCAAAAGAAUCCUAACUGUUGGCUCAAAGUAGUCAUUAUGGGCUAUCAGGUUUGUUGCAAGAAAAAGGCUGGUCGGGUUGGCCACUUUGGAGCGGUGCCACCGCCUCUGUGGUGUUAGUCAGCCAGAACUGAUCACACUUGAGUGGAGUCAGAUGUCAGAUGAUCAUUUUGGUGUAAGUUUUGUCCAAUUUGAUGAAGAAACGAAGCAUCAAAUGCCUUGAGAAGUAGGCCACUCAAAUAGCUUUUCUGAAGAAGAAGAUGAACAAUCGCAACAAAACGGCUUCGUUUUAGGCAAUUGUGCUUUAGUCCUUCAAUUUAUGAUUUAUUCCUAAUUGCACCCCUGAUUGGCUUCAAACUUUCAACUUUGUGCAAUUGUACCUCUGACAAACUUCAAUUUAAGCUCUGGACUUCAAUGCCUUUUUUAUCUUGGUUAUUGGUUUUGGAUUUAUGUAAUUUUAUUCUUAAUUGACCAUCAAACUUUUAAAUUUCUUCAAUUUCACUCCUAAUUUCAGCCAAUUGGGUUCUCAGAGUUCGACGUCUUUUGCAAAAUGGUCAUUGGGAUGAGUUUUAUUUCUAGACUUAAUAGGCAACAAUGUUAUUUUAAAGAAUAAAUGUGAUAAUAAAGACAAAAAAAUGUUUGACAAAGAAGGAUAUCAAAGGGAUUUAUGACAAGGCUAUGUAAGAAUGAAAUGUGGGAUGACAUGUCAUCAAGAAAUAAGAACUACAAUAGUAGAAAGAAAUCUUGGGGCAAAUAAAGACGCUAUAUGUGAUAGAAAGUAAAAAAAAAAUCAUGAUGGAAAAGCACAAGAAGUCUCAAAACUAGGUCGCUUACUCAGAAACCGAAAUCAAGCAAAUAAUUGAGCCUAAUAUCAUGAUGAUUAGAAGUGAGAAUCGGGACAAUAGCCUAAGAUGACAAGAGAAAGUUGGUAUAUUUCAUGGAAGAUUGUUUUUAUUUAUUUAUUUUAGGGUAGUCAUCUCUAGAUAAGAUUUUUUAUUUUAUUUUUAGAAUAGUUGUCUCUUGAUGAGACUGUUUAAUUUGUUUUAAAGGUAGUUAUCUCUCGUUAGAGCAUUUUUUUUCUUUUCAUUUUAAAGGUAGUUAUCUUUCAUGAGACUGUUUAUUUUGUUUUGAGGGUAGUCAUCUCUUGAUAACACUAUUUAUUUAUUUAUUUAUUUAGUUUAUUUUAAGGGUAAUCAUCUCUUAAUGAGACUAUGUAGUUGUUUUCUUUUGUUUGAAGUUACGGGUAAUCGCCUCUCAAUAAGGUUGUUUCUUUUAAUGUUGAGCAAAGCUCGCUUUCUUUUCAAUACAAAAUUAUUAUACAAAGUUAAAGAAAAAUAAAAUCUUCAAUGUUUUUGUACCGUAAGUAUUGUAAAGAAGGAGCAAAUAUCAUAACUCAUUUUUUAUCACCUAAUUUUUAAAAGAUGUUUUCAAAAAUAAAAAUAAUGAGUGAAAUGAUAAGCAAACAAGGAAAGUGGGUGAGAUAAGAAGAUAAGAAAAUAGAGGGAUAAGGAGAUAGGAAGAUAAAAAGAUUAGAAGUUAGGGAUAUAAGGAGAUAAGAAGGGAUAAAAAUAUAAAUAUAGAAGAGAAUGAGUUAUAAAUAGACCAUACAAUUGAAGAAAAGAAAUCAGAGAAAACCAAAGAGAAAAUGAAGCAAAAAAAAAAGCACUCCUAAAAAAAAAUAAAAAGAAGGAAAAACAAAACAAAACAAGCUUAUCUCUUUAGCCAAAAAUACAACAAUUUUUUUUCCCUUCCUUUAUCCCUGCAAGAAUCCACUAACAUAACUCAUAUAAACACAUUGUAACCAACCUUCUACCAUCAUAGCUUCAGUCAACCACCCUUCUAAUCAAAAUCAGCUCACCAUCAAAACGCCACCCAAACCACCAUGAACUAGACCAAAAACAACCUCUCACCACCACCAUUACACACCAUUUCUUAUAAUCUUAUACUUACCAACCCGAUCACUAUAAAAUGAAGUUACCACUUAUGAAUCAUCGUAGCAUAGUCAUUCUCUCUAACCGAUCAUCCACACUCGAAAUCUGAAAAACCCAAAAAUCCCAACAACCAUGUAACACUUCUUCCACUGCAACACCGAAUCCUUUUCCGACCUGAAAUCCCAGUCGCAAAUCAGAUCCAUUCUCACACUUCUAAUCACCUAAAAAGACUGAGUUGUUUUUGCUAGUUUUCUAGGUUUUGUGACAGCACGUGAUGCACAUGCGCCACACUCUAGACAAACAGUCCACCAGCAAUACCCAAUCUAAUUUUAUCAACUUUUGGUCAACUCUAACAAGUCUUAAAGUUGUUUUUGAACCCCAAAUAAUUUUUUUUUUAUUUUGGAUAAUUUUUAAUAUAUUAUCAUUUUUUAUAUUAUGAUGAAUAUUUAAAGUGUUUGGGUCCACAUCGACCUUGGAGGUAUGUAGCCGUCAAGAAUUUUUUUUUUUGACGUAUGAUAAGGUUAGAAUUAAUACCCCACAAUGGAAGAGAGGGUAUUAAUUGAAAUUUAAAUAAAAAAUUAAUGCAAAGUAAAAAAUACAUUAAAAUAAAGAGGGUCCUUGUAUAGGAGUAGUUGUGGCUAAAUAUUGUAUGUAACAAGCACAAGCUUAUCAUCAAAUGUCUCUUCUAAUAAAGACCGUCUGGCUGUGAAACUUUUCCAAUAUAUGUUUUUUAUUUGCAUUCACACCUUUUGGAAUGAGUCGCUAAACCAAGUUUUUUUUUUAGGUGAAGGAAGUAUGAUUGUUUUAUCAAUAGUUAAACCCGAUUGGAAGAUGUUUCAACUUAUAUUCCUAUUAAUGUAAUAUCCAUUACAAGUAAGAACAUUAAAAAAUAAAAUAGCAAGUACGAAAAUGAGUAAUAACCUUUAAUAAAGAUUGUGUCACAACUCUAUAAUUAAUUCAUAUAUCGGGUGGUCUUGAAAGUCUAGUUGCUAGGUCUAGCUUUGAGUGACUAAUCUAUAAGGGCUUUAAGGGAAAAGAGAAGGGGUGAAGUUAUAGGUCAGGUUUGUAAGCCUUAUUUCUAAAUUGUUGAUCCUAAGUUCCCAUGAUUGCCUACUUUUUCCUGUUGAUUCUAAGAGAUGGAAGGGGCUCAAUUCAAGCUAGUCAUUCAAUCUGACUCGACAUUUCACCAAGGAGCCUCAAAACUAUGAAUCAUAGAACUAUAAUGAAAUAUACAAUCAACCAACAUUUAUUAAAUUUGACAAAGAUUCAGAAGAAACUCCAAAUAUUUGAUGUCUUUCUCUUUGAAUGAGAUCUCAAUUCAAAAGACGGUUUCAUUAAAUAUCUAAUAACUAGAGUCCUUUUUUUCAAUCCAGUCUUCCACCACCAUGAAACCUAGUUAGAUUCAAGCAUGAUACACUUUUUAGUUAUUGGAAGAACUCAAGUACUCUCUUUCAGAUCGAGUAAGAGAUCUUUUUCUUUUUAAAAGAUACAUGAGUGAAACAAUCAACAUAUUGAUAUAGGAAGACCCAAAUGAUUCUUUCAAUAUAUCAUUUAUAGGUCCAAUGAAAUUCAUAGGAAUAGGAAGAAGCCUUGAAAAAUAGAUAUUAUUUUUUCAACCAUCUUUUAAUUGUUAAUAUGAUAUAAAAGGACCAUUACUAUAAAUAUAAUUGAUUAGUCAAAGAGAUAUUUAAUAACUAAAAUAAAUAUCUCGGUUUUUUGAGAUCUUCUGUUCUUCAAAUGGAAGGAACAAAGAUGAAAUUAGAUUGGUUCCCUAAAUGUCUUUCUAGAUAUUUUUGUUAUUCACGAAAGAUGUGAAGGAGAUGAAUAAGCAUAUGCUUUUGAAAGAAAUUAAAGAAUUUAUUGAGAGUCCUACAAGGUUCAUUAAUUUCUUUCCUCUAACAAGUGGUCAAAACUUCAUCUUAGUUUGAAUCUUACUAAGAGGUCCACUAGAUAUAAUAAAUUAUUGAAGAAAUAGCAAGAUGUUUCUUUAGUCCCUUCUAAAUGAUCGAAAAAAAGAAAGAAAUAAUCAAUAUAUUUAAAGUAAUUACAUAUUUACAAAAUACCAUCUUAAUUCAUCCCAUUUCACCAAAUUAGGGAUGUGAUAUGGUUUUGAAGGAUGAACUGGAUGUGGAGAGUUCCAAUAAUAUUUCUUUCUUGAAUAUUUUUAUUUAUUUAUUUCAUAUAUAUAUUUCAUAAUCAAAACAGGGGAUACAUGUUCCACCAUGAUUCUAAAUUAGAAGGGAGAAUAAGAAAUAACAAAUCUAUUUAUUCUACUAAUAACCUAGCCAAAUCUUGUAUAUCAUAAGAUUUGAGACUCUUUUCAAAUCUUAUUUCACCUUGACCAAGGAUUUUCUAGUCAUACUAUUUGAGAAUAGAUGAAAUAUUUUCUCUUCAUCUAAGGUGAUGAAUCAUCUCUUGAUCACUAAAAUAUCUUCAUAUAGUUCAUGCUACACCUAAUGUUUACUCUUUCGUUAUCUCGAUUAAGAUAACAUGUAACAGUAUCAAAGCAUAAUAUUUUCUAUAUUAGAUGAGUUAGUGAUAUGAAGUUUAAGGAUCACUUAUGUAACCGUCACAUGAGCCUUUCCAUAGACAUAGGUGAUCUCUCCAUAUGGAAUUCUCAUGUGGGUAGGUUCAGUGUACAUGUCUUAUGACAAGCACCUGCAUAUUAAUUCUAGGUAUCCCUUAUACAUCAGCUUAUGAGAAUAACUGUUUUUUUUUUAUAAAGGAAAGAACAUAAUAUGUAUUGGUCUCUACGGGUCUAAUGAAUGUCGAGUAUUUAAGAGAGUAUCGACCAAGAAUAUUUUAGGAACAAUGUUUUGAUGCAAUAGGAAUCCUAUAAUUAUAACAACUUUAUAAUUUUUUUUGUAAAGAAUUUUUGUCCUAUGAACUUUAUCUUUAUUGUAGAUUCAUUAAUCUAAUAUUACAUGAAUAUAAUAAUAUCAUGUGUAACCAAUCAAUUGGCUACAAGGCAUAUUAAACUACCACACUGAUGAAAGGAAAUGGCGUUGAGCAUAAGUGGUAUCGAUGGCCCUUUUGCAGCGUAGAAAUGGCUACAAGGCAUAUUAACCAAUCUUAUAAUUUUUUGAGCACCGUUUGUUGAUUUGUGGGAUCGAUGGUCCUUUUACAGUGUAGAAAUAGCGUUGAGCGUAAGUGGUAUUUAUAGCUGAACAUGAAGGUUUAUCUUAGACUUCUUAGUCAAAAAAAGAACUUUUCAUGUUCUAAAAGGAAAGAUAGGUGGUCACAAUUAAUCCUAACAUUUCGCAAUUAAUCCUAACAUUACAACAAUAUUUCAGCAUAAUAUAUAGUUAAGUUAAAGUCUGUUUUGGAUUGAUUUUUUGCAAUGCAUACCUUUAUGUUAACAAACAUAAUUGUCAAUUUAACCAUUUCACUGGGUGGAAAUUUUACCAAAAAUUUUCAGAGGUCUUGUGUUAUACAUGGUUAAAAUUGCAAGUCAGUCGGACAACUAAAAAGCCUUGUAAUAAGGCUCAAAAGCUAUUAUGCGCGAUUUAUAUUUAUUUUCUAUCUAAUUUAGAAUUUUUUUUCCUAUUUGAUUUAAAUUUUUUUUUUAUUUUUUAAAAAUUGUUUAGGAUAUUUUGUACCUAUUAUAAAUAAAGUUAUUUAAUUUGUAUUUAAGUUUUUUUACGGACUUUGAUUUUAGAAUAAUAUUUGUAAGUGAGGAAAACUCAAAACUUUUUGGUUCUUGAAAGAAUUUAUAUUGAAUUAUUGAAUAAUAACUAUUUUUGUGGAGUUUUUCUUAUGUUUUUUUUUAUUUGCUAAUUAUUGGGUGAGGAUUUAAAUUCUAAUAAUUAAAAGUAAUCGUUGCGCCACGCGAGAAUUAAAUAGGUUCUUCCUUUUAAACUUCAAUCCGAGAAACCAAAACCAGAAUAUUUUAUUAUUAAGAAAAACCUUCUCUUCAAUACAAUACCCAACACUAGUGAUCAAAUGAUCAGAACCCCCGCUAGGAGAUAAUUAUUACAAAGCAGAAUCCAACACCUUCAAGUGAAGUACAAGAAAAUACUUAAGAAACUAUCUUGACAUACUUGUAUAGUACUUGCUUGUUCUUCUGCAGCCUUUAAUUAUUACAAUGUAUAGGAAUUUUCAGGUUCAGGCAUCAGGAUUUGCCAAGAAGUAAGCUUCGACGGCCUUGAACAGUCCUUCGGUCUUCUUGCCAUCCUUCUUGAUUUGAUCCUCCUUGAUCUCAGCACCAUCCUUUAUAUAGUACUUGCUUGUUCUUUUGCAGAUGGAUCCUCCCUCAGGAGUGGGCACAAACUUAUGUUCGAAAAGGACUUUCUCAACUCCCUCCAUCCAAACGUUAGAUUCAAUCAAACUGAAGCUGUAUGCGAAAUUCUCUUCAUCAAUUGUUUCAAUCUUCUGCUUCACGUAGGUGAGUCCUUUGCCUGCAAGUGAAAUCUACAGCGUUAUUUCUUUGUGCAACACAUAUAGCUAGCUAGUGAUACACUAAUUUCAAGGCCACCCUUUAGUUUGUUCUUCUUGUGUGUAUGUGUGUGUGUAUAUAUAUUAGUUACAGCAAGCAGCUAAGAGAUGAUAGAAUUAGUAACUUACCUUCAACAAAAGUGACCUUUCUUAUUGUUCCUGGCCCUCCAUUUCCUUCAAUUAUCUCAGAGCUUUUAAUUGAUUGUGGUAGAAUUUUAGGUAUAAGAGUAUCAGUCUCAAGGCAAUAGACCUUGAAGAGCUUGGCAGGAGGGACAGCGACAGAAAACUCAUUUUCAAAAGUGAUGAGACCCAUGAUAACCAAAUAUUAGUUACAAAGAUUACAGAAGAGAGAAAUUAGAGGGGGAAUUUGAAGCUAUGAAGGAUGGUUCUGGGGUGAAGAAAUGUGAGAAUUGGAGGAGGAAUUUAUAGGGUAAGUGUAUGAACGUCUCAUCUGGAUCAAAGUCCCUGUCCCCUUCAUCGUUCUUAUUUUUUGUAGAAUUAUUGUUUUGGUCAAUAUAAGCAGCUUUGAAACUAGAGAAAUUAUAAAAUUCU
rnacentral:lncRNA from 1 species